rnacentral:lncRNA from 1 species
UUAGAAUACAGAGAACGGCGCCCCUGCUUCUUCUUGAAUGAGGACCCCUCUCGUAUAGAAUAGAAUAAAACGGCACACCCUCAUAGCCACUCUCUGAAAACAACAGAGCAGCACUAUUCCCUCCUCCUCUCUGGCCUUACUUUCUCGUCUACUCUUCUCAACGUCAGUCAGAAUUUAGAUUUGGAAAUAGAAGAGUUUUAAAUAUUCGAAAAUAAAAUAACAAAAAAAGAAAAGAAAAAACUAUAUAUAAUUUUGAUCAUUCAUCCGGCGUAUAUAUUCUGAGUCCAAAAAGGCUUUUGGAGUUUCUAUUUGGCUGUCUGUCGCUGUAUUUUUCAACUAGUAGUUGAGCUCAACCUGCAGUUGUGUUCAUCAGCCUCUAUUUGGCUGUUUGGAGCUCUGUUAUUGCUGUUAAGGUAUUGUCCCCCUUUUCUUGAUCAUGUAAUUCUCCUUUUGAUUCAAUGAAAAUAUGUUUACCGUGCCAUGACAGCGUAUAAUUAUGUGUUUUCUUUUGUUAGAUUUAGCUGUUCUUGUUAGUGUUUAUAUUAUUCCCUUAUCCGAUUGUGCGUAAGUGUUGAUUUAGGCCUAUCUACAGUAUCUCGUAUUCAUCUUGUUAAAUAUAUGUGUUAUCUAAUGAUGAAGAUGAGCCAUGUUGUUAGGUGUAUUUGGCUGUGGUUUCAUGAAUUAGACCAUUAAUUGGUCAGAUCUUGAAAUUUCAAAGUUUAAGUAAAACAGGGCUUGCAACUUCUAUCCUGUCGAUUCAGUAUUUGCUUCAUGUUAUUACUUCUAUUUUGAUUCACUGAAUUCUUUGAGAUCUUCAGUAGUUGACAUUAUUAGCUUGUUAAUACUUUACUGUUUCUUCCCUAUUGAAUUAGUAGUUAGAGAUUAUAGUGAUUAAAUUAUAGUGGUUAAGUGGAUAGUGCUAUAAUCAAAAUUUGAACUGUAGGGAUGGGCUUAAAAAAGCUUGUUUCGAUGUUUGGCUCCGUCGACUUUGUAGUGGUCUACAAAGAAACGGCUGGGCUAUUGGUGAAUGAUUCUGUUCUUUUCACACGCAAGAUCUAUGGUCUUAUUUCUAAAUAUACCCAAUUCAAGAACAGAAUGAGGCUGCUUAUGGAUGGAAAGUUUCUAAGGAUGUUGCCUCUCAUCAGCAUGCCCGUGACAUCUUUGUAUUCUGCUACUACAAAGCAGUACCCCUCCGUUCAUGCUUGGCUAGCGCUCUAAUAGUUAUUCACUAUCUGCCAUAUUUCUCACACUAUGUGCUUUCUUCUUUCUUGGUCCAUAUCUUUUCCUUUUUUUUAACAAAUUCACAUUACCUCUUUCAUAAAGAACUUUUCAUACUUCCCAUAACCCUCAGAUAAUUAAUUUCAACUCUAUAGAAAUCGAGUUACGCCAUUACUUAAAUUUUCUAUGGCCCUCGCAAACUUGAAAGUGCGUAAUUGCUCUAGGCGCACUAUUUAAAUUAGUUUUUUUAAACUCGGGUGUGCAUUUCAUGUGACCCAAAUCCAAGUCUCAAAUAACGUUGAAUCUUCCUAAAAUUAAUUAAAAACGAUCAAUAAUUUAAAAUUUUACCAUAGGCUAAACAUGUAUUAAAAUGUGAUAAUAGGCCAAUUAUGAUAGUUUAAGCGACCGUGCUAGAACCACGAAAUCUGGGGGUGCUUAAUACCUUCCCUCGGGUUAACAGAAUUCCUUACUCAAAAUUUCUGGUUCGCAGACUUCAAAAGGAAAGUCGAUAUGUUCCUCGAUUUGGGGUUUAAAGUAAUCCGGUGACUUGGGACACCAGAAAACAAACAAUCCCAAGUGGCGACUCUGAACAAAAAAUGAAUAAAUAAUCUCAUUUCGAAUAAUAUCACUUUAAUUGGAAAAACUCCCUUAUACUACAUUCGGGUGUGUAAAAAGGAGGUAUGACACAGGCCUCCUAAGUUCAGUGAUCUAUCAUCGGAGGAUGCUCUGGGAUUUCUUGAUGAGUGUUACCGCAUUCUCCGUACUAUGGGUAUCCCAAGAUCGAGCGGAGUUUCUUUCACUACUUUCCAGCUUCGAGGAGCCGCCUAUGACUGGUGGCGCACCUAUGAGUUAGACAGUCCAGAUGCGGCUGCUUCACUGACUUGGGCUUAGUUUUCGGAUAUGUUCCUGAGAUAGUAUGUUCCUCAGAGUCUCAGGGACGCAUGUCGCACAGAGUUUGAGCAUUUGCGCCAGGGUGUUAUGACUGUUUCAGAGUAUGCUGUCUGUUACACCAAUUUGGCUAGGCAUGCACCAGCCUUGGUUACUACUGUUCGCGAUAGGGUUCGCCGAUUUAUUGAGGGGCUUAUUCCCCCAUAAGAUAUAGCAUGGCUCGUGAGUUAGAGAUGGAUAUUUCUUAUCAGCAUGUGGUGAGCAUUGCUAGGAGUUGAGGGUAUACAUGCUCGAUAGAGAGAGGAGAGGGAGGCCAAGAGGUCUCGAGAGUCGGGCCAUUUUUACGUGCCCAUGCGCCAACUUCAGGUCAUCAUGGUAGGGGUUAUAUGGGUUGCCCUGCUCAUUUAGCUCUUCCAACAACUAGUUGUGCUCCAACUCCUAGGCCUCAGGAGCUUUAUUAUGCACCUCCGGUUUCUGUGCGCCUCCUGCGCAGGGUGCUUUCAGAGGUCAGUCCAGCAGACCUGGCCCUCGUUAGUAACAACCACCACGUCCUUCCAGAGCAUUUUUUGAGUGUGGUGACAUACGACACGUGGUGAGGGAUUUCCCUAGACUUGGGAUGAUUUCACCUCCACAGACUUCUCAGCCACAACGUGCCCCGCAGAGUUCUCAGGCUAUGAUUACAGCUCCGGCUUCUACCCCACUUGCUCAGACAACUAGAGGUGGAGGUCAGAGAAGGUAGAGGUCGCCCUUGAAGGGGAGGCCGGGCUAGAUACUAUGCUCUUCCUGCCCGUACCGAGGCUGUUGCCUUCGAUUCUGUCAUCACGGGUAUUGUCAUGGUUUGUCAUCGAGAUGGAUCGAUUCUAUUCGAUCUAGGCUCCACUUAUUCUUAUGUGUCUUCUUAUUUUUCUCCGCAUUUGGGUGUAUCUCGGGAUUCUUUGAGCUCCUAUGUUUUUGUUUCUUCUCCCGUGGGAGAUUCUCUUGUUGUGGACCGCUUUUAUCGAUCAUGUUUGGUUGCUCUUAAUGGUUUUGAGACCAGAGCCGAUCUAUUGUUACUCAGCAAGGUUGAUUUUGAUAUUAUCUUAUCUUGGUCAUGGACUGGUUGUCACCCCAUUAUGCUAUUCUUGAUUGUAACGCCAAGACCAUGACGCUGGUUAUGGCCGGUGUAUCGCGUGUUGAGUGGAUGGGUACCUUAGAUCACACUCCCAGUAGAUUUAUUUCUUUUCUUAAAGCUCAGCGUAUGGUUGAGAAGGGGUGUGACACGUAUUUAAUUUAUGUGAGAGAUGUCAGUAUUGAUACUCCUUCUGGUUAUUCAGUCCUUGUAUUACAGGAUUUUUCCGAUGUUUUUCCAGGUGAUCUUCCGAGCAUGCCGCCUGAUCGAGAUAUUGAUUUUGACAUUGAUCUAUUGUCGGGCACUCAGCCCAUUUCUAUCUCUCCAUAUCGUAUGGCCCCUCCUAAAUUGAAGGAGUUAAAGGAUCAGUUAUAGGAAUUGCUUGAUAAGGGUUUUAUUCGGCCCGGUGUUUCAACUUGGAGUUCUCCUAUCCUGUUCGUGAAGAAAAGGGAGUUUUAUGCGUAUGUGUAUUGAUUAUCUCCAAUUGAACAAGGUUAGAAUGAAGAACCGUUAUCCUUUGCCUCGUAUUGAUGAUCUGUUUGACCAACUUCAGGGCGCACGGGUGUUUUCUAAGAUUGAUUUGCGCUUAGGUUACAUGUCACGACCCGAAUUUUUUCACUCCCGAGAAUCGUGAUAACACCUAUUAAUGUAAGCUAGGCAAGCCGAACCUUAACAAAAUACUAACCUUUUUCAUAUCACAUCUUUUAACCAACACGAAACAACAAUAUAAUAAGAACGAAAUUUAUAUAGAACUUAUGCAGAAGUCUUCAACUACUUAAUCAAACCAUAUAUAUUACAAAUUUUAAACUUCACACCCCAAAAUCUAGUGUCACAGUAUCACAAAUCGUCUAAGAGUCACUAAAUACAAAGCCUAAAGAAAUACAUAAAACUAUUUCUGAGCAAGGAUGAGGAAACAGGAAAUGGGAUAGAGGUGGACGCCGGGGCCUGCGGACGCUUGCAGGUCUAACUUGGGUCUCCGAGUGGACUGAAGGAAGCUCUCCAACUAAUGUCCGAUAGCUGCUCCGGGAUUUGCACACAGUUUAGUGUAGUAUCAGCACAACUGAUCCCAUGUGCUGGUAAGUGUCUAGCCUAACCUCGGCGAAGCAGUGACGAGGCUAGGACCAGACCAACAAUUAAACCUGUGCAGUUAUAUAAUAUACAACGGAAAGUAAAGCAGAAAUAAACAAGUAAAGAUGGGAAGGGGAAACAUGCUGCGGGGGUAUACCAGUAUUAACAGUGAAUCCAGAGUAAUAGUCUGAAGACAGCUUAGAAUUUACAACGUACACAAGAAACUAAUAUCCAAAAUAAACCCACUUGUAUCAAUAAUUAUUGCGGUGCGCAACCCGAUCCCAAUAUAUAACAACACUGUUACAGCAUGCAACCCGAUUGAUAUCAUUUAGCAUUGUUGCGGUGUGUAACCCGAUCCACAAAUACCAUAGUUGCGGCGUGCAAACCGAUCCAUGUGAUUUAGCAUUGUUGCGGCGUGCAACCCGACCCAUAAAUACCAUUGUUGGGGGUGCAACCCGAUCCAUGUCAUUUAGCAUUGUUGCAGCGUGUAACCCGAUCCACAAAUACCAUUGUUGCGGCGUGCUACCCAAUCCAUGUCAUUUAGCAUUGUUGCGGCAUGCAACCCGAUCCACAAAUACCGUUCAAUGCACGACAUCACACUUCGUGCUUUAUCACUCUUCCUCACCCAAACAACAAUCACAAAUAAGGGGAAAGAAUGUAUACAAAUAAUGAUAGGAAUCCUGGAAAGGGAAUGCAAUUAAAUAGUUAAAUCCCGGCAAGGGAACAAUAUCAAUAAAUUUUUAUGUCCCAGCAAGGGAGAAAAUUAACAAAAACAAAACGUCCCGGCAAGGGAAUAAACCAAUAACUCCUUCUCUUUCUUUCACUUUCAUCUCAUAGUUCACAUUAUCACUUGAGCCAAUGCUCCAAAGAUCUAAAUAUCUCAUAUACCUUCACAAAUUUGUAUUUCAACUCGAGCCAACGCUUCACGAAGUUCAUAGAUCACAAUUUCUUUCACAUGCUCUUUAUAUCAUAUAGAAGUCAUCAAUUAAGCAUGGGAGAUACAACAAAAUCAAAAUAUUCGCAAUAUAAGGACUCAUGGUAAUGCUAGACACACAUGUAUAGAUACUCGUCACCAUGCCUAUACAUCGUACUCGACAAUUAGCAAGUAGUAAAUAAGACUCAACUCCUAUUCCCUCAAGCUAAUGUUAGACCAAACACUUACCUCGAUGCUUUAAACUUAACUCAAGUCUCAAGUACAACUUUACCCCUUGAUUCCACCACAAAUCUAGUCACAAGUUACUUAAUUACAUCAAUAAACACUAAAUGAAUCAAUUUGAAUGCAUAAAAAUCAAUUUCCCAAAGUUUUGCCCAAAAAGUCCAAAAAUACCCCCAUGCCCGCGUGGCCAAAACCCGAGGUUCGAACAUAAACCCGGUUACUCAUUCCCCCACGAACCCAAAUAUAUAAUUUGUUUUUAAAUUGGACCUCAAACUGAGGUUCAAAUCCCCAAUUUUUGAAAAACCAAAGUUCUACACAAAGCCCCCAAUUUCACCCAUGAAAAUCAUUGAUUUUAAGUUGAAAACAUGUUAAAGGAUGUUAAUUAUUGAAAGAAUUGAGUAAAAAAUGAGGUAAAAAUGAUUUGGAAGGAAAAUUGUUCUUGAAAAAUCACCCAACGAGUUUGUGUUUUGAAAGAAUGGUGAAAAAUGGUUCAAAUUCGACUAAGUAAAAAAUUCGCCGGGCCUGAGAUUUCGGAAUUGCGAACAGGGUUCGCAUUUGUGAACUUUACAAGCUUGGGAAAUGCAAGAAAAUAGUUCACAUUUGUGAACACUGCCCAAUUCUCGGACCUUCGCAUUUGCGAAAUUAAUAUCACAUUUGCGAUGUUCGCAUUUGCGAGAAAAAGAUUGCAUUUGUGAUCCCAGGCAAUUAUGGGGGCUUUUCGCAUUUGCGAGUAGCCCUUCGCAUUUGCAAGACAGGUUUCCAAAUGAGUAGCCUGCUGAUCUGGGCAUACCAGCAACUUUCCAAAGUUAAAAGUGCACUCCGACAUCUAUCCAAAUCUCACCUGAGCCCUCGGGGCUCCAAACUAAACAUACAUACAACAUCAAAAAAUAUCCUACGGACUUACCCGUGUGAUCAAAUCGCCAAAAUAACAUCAUAUACAUUGAAUCAAGCCUCAAAACUCAUAAUUCCUUCCAAAUUUUCAUAAAACAUCAAAUUUCCAUUUUAAGCCCGAAAUACGUCAAAUGACGUCCAUUUUUAACCAAUUUUUACGAAAAGUGCUUAAACCAAAUAUAUGACUUGUACCGAGCUCUAGAACCAAAAUACGUGCCCGAUACCAAUACGUUCUAAUCAAUUUUCGUUUUAAUUUUUCUUAAAAAUUUUAGAAAAACAAUUUUACUCAAAAAUUCAUUUAUCGGGUUGGGCACCUCGAAAUUCGAUUCCGGACAUAUGCUCAGGUCCUCUAUUUUCAUGUGGACCCUCCGGGACCGUUAAAUUACGGGUUCGAGUCCGUUUAUCCAAAUUAUUGACCGAAUCAAAUUUAUUCAUUUUAAUAUCGUAACUUAGUAUUUUUCAUAUAAUUUCAUAUUUAAGCUUUUCGGCUAUGUGUCCGGACUGCGCACGCAAAUUGAGGCAAUAAUAAAUGAGGUUUUCAAGGCCUCUCAGAUGCAGAAUUGGAUAAGAAACAUGUGAUGGCCCUUUGUGUCAUCACAUUACCAUCAGUUGAAGAUUCGGGAACCGGAUAUGCCAAAGACUAUUUUAAGAACUCGGUAUGGUCAUUACGAGUUCCUUGUCAUGUCAUUUGGGCUGAAAAAUUUCCCAACAACCUUUAUAUAUUUAAUUCACAGUGUGUUCUGGCCAUAUCUUGAUUCAUUCGUCAUUGUCUUUAUUGAUGACAUUCUGGUAUAUUCCAGGAGUCGGGAAGAUCAUGAGCAGCACCUGAGGAUUGUGUUUCAGAGUUUGAGAGAGAAGAAGUUAUAUGUUACGUUCUCAAAUUGUGAGUUUUGGUUGGAUUCAGUGGCAUUCUUAGACCAAGUGGUAUCGAGUGAGGGCUUCCAGGUGGACCCAAAGAAGAUAGAGGUCGUGCAUAGUUGGCCUAGACCAUCCUCAGCUACAGAGAUCCGUAGUUUCCUUGGUUUAGCGGGUUAGUAUCAUCGUUUUGUGGACGGGUUUUCAUCGAUUGCAUCCCCUAUGAUUAGGUUGAUCUAGAAGGGUGUUCCAUUUUAGUGGACAGAGGAGUGUGAGGCGAGCUUUCAGAGGAUCAAGACAACUUUGACUACAACCCAGCUUUGAUAUUGCCUACCGGUUCAGGGUCUUAUACUAGCUAUUGUGAUUCCUCGAGGGUUGGCCUUAGAGUGGUGUUGAUGCAGGACAGUAGGGAGAUUGGCUACUCGUCUAGAUAGUUGAAGAUACAUGAUAAGAACUACCCUGUUCACGACCUUGAGUUAGCUGCCAUUAUUCACGCCCUGAAGAUUUGGCGCCAUUACUUAUACAAUGUGCCUUGUGAGAUUUAUACUGACCAUCGGAGAUUGCAGCACUUGUUCAAGAAAAAUGAUGUAAAUUUGCACCAGAUGAGGUGGUUGGAGUUGCCAAAGGACUAUGAUAUCACUAUUAUAUAUCACUCAGGCAAGGCCAAUAUGCUGGCCGACGCUUUGAGUCGCCGGGCAGAGAGUUUCGGGAGUUUGGCUUAUUUACCAGCAUCAUAAGGCCUAUGGCGAUGGAUAUUCAGGCCUUAACCAACCAGUUUGUGAGAUUUGACCUUUCGGAGCCCAAUCGGGUUCUAGCUUUCAUGGUUUCUCGGUCUUCCCUAUUUGAUCGUAUCAGGGAGUGGCAAUAUGAUGACCAUAAUUUGCUUGUCCUCAAGGACAAGGUUCAGCAUGGCGAUGACAGAGAUGUGACUAUUGGUGCUGAUGGGGUAUUGAGGAUGCAGGGUCGGGUCUGUGUACCCAAUGUUGAUGGUAUUCGAGAGUUGAUUCUGGAGGAUGCCCAUAACUCGCGGUAUUCCAUUCAUUCGGGUGCCGCGAAGAUGUAUCAGGAUUUGAGGCAACACUAUUGGUGGAGGCGGAUUAAGAAAGAUAUAGUUGGAUUCUUAGCCCGGUGUCUCAACUGUCUGCAGGUGAAGUACGAGCACCAAAGACAGGGUGGGUUUCUUCAGCAGAUAGAGAUUCCGGAGUGGAAGUGGGAGCGGAUCACCAUGGACUAUGUAGUUGGGCUCCCACAGACUUUGAGGAAGUUUGAUGCCAUUUGGGUGAUUGUGGAUCGACUGACCAAGUCCGCUCAUUUUAUCCUAUGUGUACUACCUAUUCUUCGGAGCGGUUGGCAGAGAUUUAUGUCUAGGAGAUUGUUUGUUUUCAUAGUAUUCCAGUUUCUAUCAUUUCAGAUAGAAACCCAGUUCACAUCACGAUUUUGGAGGUCCGUUCAACAAGAGUUGGGUACUCGGGUGGAGUUGAGCACAUCAUUUCACCCUUAGAUGGAUGGACAUUCCGAGUGCACUAAUCAGAUUCUUGAGGAUAUGCUCCAUGCGUGUGUGAUUGAGUUUGGAGGGUCUUGGGAUCAGUUUUUUCUAGUGGCAGAGUUUGCUUUUAUCAAUAGUUAUCAGUCCAGCAUUCAGAUGGCAUCAUAUGAGGUUUUAUAUGGUAGGCGGUGUAGAUCCCAGUUGGGUUGGUUUGAGUCGGGUAAGUCUAGAUUAUUAGGCAUAGAUUUGGUUCAGGAUGCUUUGGAGAAGGUUAAGGUGAUUCAGGAUAGACUCUGUACAACCCAGUCUAGACAGAAGAUUUAUGUAGAUUAGAAGGUUCGUGAUGUUUCAUAUAUGGUUGGAGAGCGGUUCUACUUCAGGUUUCACCUAUAAAGGGCGUUAUGAUAUUUGGGAAGAAAAGGAAGUUGAGUCCGAGGUUUAUUGGCCCUUUUGAGAGAUUGAGGUGUGUUGGGGAGGUUUCUUAUGAGCUUGCCCCUCCCAGCUUGGCAGGAGUUCAUCCGGUAUUUCAUGUUCGAUGUUUCAGAGGUAAUAUGGUGAUCCGUCGCACGUGUUGGAUUUCAUAUCAGUCCAGUUGGAAAAUGAUCUAUCAUAUGUUGAGGAGUCAAUGACUAUAUUGGACAGACAUGUUAGAAAGUUGACGUCAAAGAAAAUCACAUUGGUAAAGGUUAAGUGGCGGGGUCAGCCGAUCAAGGAGGCGACCUAGGAGACCGAGCAGGAUAUGCAUAGCCAUUGCCCUCAUCUUUUCACUACUUCAGGUAUGUCUCUACGCUCGUUCGAGGACGAACAAAUGUUUAAGUGUAGGAGGAUGUGACGAUCUGGCCUGUUGUCUUACGAAUUUAUGCUCCGAUCCUCUAUUAACUACUUACCCCAAGUUUAUUUCUGCUAAUGUGAUUUCUGGGAUAUUUGGUUUUGAGUUUUGGAGAGUUUUGGGACACUUAGUCCGUAAAUAAGAGCUUAAGUGUUGGAAAGUUGAUCGUAUUUGGAACAAUAAUAAGACGGCCUCGAAAUGGAAAUCUGAUCGUUCCGUUAGCUCCGUUGGCUGAUUUUGGGGUUAGGAGCGUGUCCGGUUAGGCUUGAAAUGCCGAAAGUUAAAUUUAGGAAGUUUCCGGUUCGAUAGUGUGAUUUUGAUCCGAAGGCCUCCGUCAUGUCAUUUGGGAUGUGUGCAAAAUUUCAGGUUAUUCGGAGAUGGUUUGGUUGUGUUUUUUGUCUAAGAAAAUUUGGAGUUCUUAGGCUUAAAUCCUUGAUUUAUUCGAGGUUUUGAUGUUGUUUUAGGUGUUUUAAAGAUUGGUACUAGUUUGAAUGAGGUAUUACUUGAUGUUGGUGCUUUUGGUUGAGGUCUCGGGGGUCUCGGGAUGAAUUAGGAUGGUUGACGAAAGGAUUUUUGAAGUUGAGAGAUUGCAGAUUUUAGCUGGUAUCUGUCAUAACCGCAUCUGCGCUUUGGGGACCGCAGAUACAGCGCCGAAUAAGCGGAUGUUAGUGUUUUCUCCAAAUCCGCAUCUGCAGAAGGAUUACCACCGAAGCGGUUUUGCACUUGCGACAUGGUUAUCGGAGAUGCAGUUCCUGGGCAAUUAAAUGAAAGUCACAGAUGCGAUGGGGUAUCUUCAGAAGCGGGACCGCAGAUGCGGUCCUAGAGCCUUAAAUGUGGAAGUCGCUGGGAAUAACAUAUAAAUAGUUGCCUUUGCGAAAUUGAGCCAUUCUUCCACCAUUUUCAUCCGGGUUUGAAGAUUUUAAGAGGGAUUUUCGAGGAAAACAAAGGGGAAUCACUUGGAGGUAAUGUCCCUGACUUCAUAACUCGUUUCUAUGUGAUUAAAGACCUAAUUGAUGGUGAGAAAUUUGGGGAAAAUGGGUAGUUAGGGCUUGAGUUGUACAUACUUUUAAUUGAGGAUUUGAGGGGUCAUUUGGACUCAGAUUUCAGUGUUCUUGUUAUGUAUAGACUCGUGAGAGUACGAGGUCUCUGAAAAUUUAAAUUUCACCCUAUUUCGAGAUGAGGGCUUAAGGAGCAUUUUGGUCAUUUUUCAUAAUUUCGUGUACUAGCUUAGACUUUAAUUUAGAAUCAGUUACUUGAGGUGUUAUUUACAAUAUGUAAUUGAAUUGAAUAGAUUUGGACCAUUUGGAGUCGUAUACUCGUGGAAAAAGUGUGGCGAGUUGAUUUUGAGCCGGUUCGAGGUAAGUGGCUUGUCUAACCUUGUGGGGGGGGCCUUCCCCGUAGGAUAUAGUAUUUGAUAGUUGAAAUGCCUUGUUCAUGAGGUGACGAGCGUGUACUUGAGCUAAUUGUUGAAUAUUCGGUUUUAUUUUAAGCAUUUAAACUGAGUUCCUUUGUUACUUAUUUUACUCUAUUUGCAAACUUAGCCUGUGUUAGAUUAGAAAAACAUGGUUAGUUGACUUAAUUACCUAUUUGCUUAAACUGCCUUAAUUGCAUUAUGUGAAGCAUAUCUAGAAUUAACUGUCUACUUGUUACGAACUUAGCGUUUAUUUUAAUAUUCCUGAGCUGUUGUUGUGUGUUUUUAUUUGGGACUACGGGACGACAUCCCGGGAGAUUUCCCUGCACGUAGUUAUGAUCUGGAUUGAGGUGCGGGAUACCAAGAGAUCCCUAGCAUAUAUUGAGGAUACCGGGAGAUCCUCGGGAUACCAAGAGAUCCCUAGUGUGUUUAUUGAGGAUAUCAAGAGAUCCUCGGGAUACCAAGAGAUCCCUAGUUUAUACAUUGAGGAUACAAAUAGAUCCUUGGGAUACCAAGAGAUCCCCAGCUAUUAUCCUUGUUGUGAGCGGUGUUUCCUUGCGUUUUGUCUUUAUUUUUGUUUCUGUUAUUGUAUUAUUGUCAUCCUGUAUAGACUCUUACGGUAGAUUCUUAAGUAUAUUGUUUAUCUUAACAUGUUAUUUUAUUAUUAUUAUUUAUCUCAGUUGGGCACUGACUUUCCUCGUCACUACCUGACCGAGGUUAGGUUUGACACUUACUGAGUACCGCUGUGGUAUACUCAUGCCCUUAUGCACAUAUUUUUCAUGUAUAGAUCUAGGUACCGCUGGGCAGGCUUGCCAUCCUUGAGACAGGGAGAGCUUUUGGAGACUUCGAGUUACAUAUGCCGCGUCCGCAGAUUGAAGAGUCUCCAUCUUUAUUCUAUCAUGUAGUGUUAGCCCU